rnacentral:rRNA from 1 species
GGGGAAUAUUGGACAAUGGGGGCAACCCUGAUCCAGCAAUGCCGCGUGUGUGAAGAAGGCCUUCGGGUUGUAAAGCACUUUUAUCGGGAACGAAACAUUGUCGGCCAAUACCCGGCAAGACUGACGGUACCCGAGGAAUAAGCACCGGCUAACUACGUGCCAGCAGCCGCGGUAAUACGUAGGGGGCAAGCGUUGUCCGGAUUUACUGGGUGUAAAGGGCGCGCAGGCGGGAUAAAAAGUCAGUGGUGAAAUCCUACAGCUUAACUGUAGAACUGCCUUUGAUACUUUUAUUCUUGAGUUCGGGAGAGAGAGACGGAAUUCCAGGUGUAGUGGUGAAGUACGUAGAUAUCUGGAAGAACACCAGUUGCGAAGGCGGUCUCUUGGUCCGACACUGACGCUGAGGCGCGAAAGCGUGGGGAGCAAACA